rnacentral:rRNA from 1 species
GCAGUCGCCGCGGGAAUACGUAGGGUGCAAGCGUUAAUCGGAAUUACUGGGCGUAAAGCGUGCGCAGGCGGUUAUAUAAGACAGAUGUGAAAUCCCCGGGCUCAACCUGGGAACUGCAUUUGUGACUGUAUAGCUAGAGUACGGCAGAGGGGGAUGGAAUUCCGCGUGUAGCAGUGAAAUGCGUAGAUAUGCGGAGGAACACCGAUGGCGAAGGCAAUCCCCUGGGCCUGUACUGACGCUCAUGCACGAAAGCGUGGGGAGCAAACAGGAUUAGAUACCCCUGUAGUCCCUGUCUCUUAUAC